rnacentral:rRNA from 1 species
GAUGAACGCUAGCUACAGGCUUAACACAUGCAAGUCGAGGGGUAACAUUGGCUGAGCUUUCUCAGCCAGAUGACGACCGGCGCACGGGUGCGUAACGCGUAUCGAACCUUCCCCUUACUCGGGAAUAGCCCGGUGAAAACCGAAUUAAUGCCCGAUAUAUAUUUAGAUGGCAUCAGAAGAGUAUGAAAGAUUUAUCGGUAAGGGAUGGCGAUGCGUAGGAUUAGGUAGUCGGCGGGGUAACGGCCCACCGAGCCAACGAUCCUUAGGGGUUCUGAGAGGAAGGUCCCCCACAUUGGAACUGAGACACGGUCCAAACUCC